GACGAACGCUGGCGGCGUGCCUAAUACAUGCAAGUAGAACGCACAGUUUAUACCGUAGCUUGCUACACCAUAGACUGUGAGUUGCGAACGGGUGAGUAACGCGUAGGUAACCUGCCUGGUAGCGGGGGAUAACUAUUGGAAACGAUAGCUAAUACCGCAUAAUAUUAAUUAUUGCAUGAUAAUUAAUUGAAAGGUGCAAUUGCACAACUACCAGAUGGACCUGCGUUGUAUUAGCUAGUAGGGGAGGUAACGGCUCACCUAGGCGACGAUACAUAGCCGACCUGAGCGGGGGGUCGGCCACACUGGGACUGGGACACGGCCCAGACUCCUACGGGGGGCAGCAGUAGGGGAUCUUCGGCAAUGGGCGGAAGUCUGACCGAGCAACGCCGCGGGGGGGAAGAAGGUUUUCCGGUCGUAAAGCUCUGUUGUAAGGGAAGAACGGGUGUGGGAGUGGAAAGUUCACACUGUGACGGUAUCUUACCAGAAAGGGACGGCUAACUACGUG
rnacentral:rRNA from 1 species